rnacentral:lncRNA from 1 species
CUCGUGCUGCAGCGCGCUCACAGCCUCCAGCCGCGCGCGGCCGGCGGCGAGGUUCUCCACCUGCGGCACCAUCGCCACCGCCCGGCCGUACGCGCACGGCCACUCGCACUUGUGGAGUGUGACCCGCGUGCUGGAUCGAUGCGUGGCGCUGUCGGCCUCGAGCACUCCGACGCCCUGCGGGAGCAUAUCACCGGAGACAGAAGGAUUCAGUCAAAAACGGCACACCCUAGACUGGAGUAAUCGAGGUAGGGGAUUCCUUCAGUUGAGGGGAGGGUACUCACAGGGUGUUGGCGUGCUGGAUGUUGCACUCGAGCACCUUCAGCGAGUCCCUGAACGACCUCCACGACGCACGCGGUUGCCUCCGCCGCCAUCUCCCCACUCCCGCUCUGUCACCAGAGGUCGCCACCGCCGAAUUAAACAGCACCGCCAGAGCCGAGCAGGGCCAAAUUAGAACCCCACCAUGCACGCGCGCAAACCCUCGACCGCGACGGCAACAGCGCCGCCACAGGUGGAGGCUCUGGAUCUGGGAGGGAGCUCUCCUGGAUCUAGAUCCUGCAGGAGAGGUGGAAAAUGGAAGGGAACGAGGAAUGGGGAGGUCAGUGGAACGGGGAACGGUGGGUGAGGAGGACAGCGAGAUCGACGAUGGGUGGGAGCGGUGGGGAGAAGAAUGGAUCGGGAGGGGGCGGGGACGGGGAGGAGGUUGCGGCGGCGGCGAGGAGAUCGGAACGAGGGAGGAAGGGUGUGAUUUGGGGAUGGGAUCUGAGCUAGGGUUUGGGCUGCGGUGGGGUAUCUUUUUUUUU